rnacentral:RNase_P_RNA from 1 species
AAAGCAGACUUAUCUUAUCGACUUGUAAAAGUAGGAAAGUCCGGACACCAAAGAGUAGCAUAGCGGAUAACAUCCGUCCAACGUAAGUUGAGGACCAGUGCAACAGAAAGAAUGUACAGUUAGGCUGUAGUGAAACCAGGUAAACUCUAUGCGGUGCAAUGCCAUGUAUAUUAGAACUUGAGGGCGACUCGCUCGAUUCUAAAGGGUAGGCAGAUGGAUUCUAAGAGUAAUUUUAGAACUAGAUAAAUGAUAAGAACCUUUUUAAAGGAACAGAAUUCGGCUUAUUAGUCUGCUUUUUUC